UGCUCACCUUGUAGGCUAUCGUCAAAAGCACCCUGUAGUUGGGUUCUGCUAAUGAAUGGUUUAAUUCCUUUCUCUAAUGACAGUCACAAACAUCCGCGACACGGGAAGGGGGUCACACAGGCACCAAAAGCCGGGACUCCUGCCAAUGAAUUUAAAGUGUAAGAAAAUUGAAGCUACCAGGGUUCCAGAAUUUCCAAUUAACCAAAAUCUCAAAGUGUUUGCAGUGCCAUUUCUUGAUGUAAUAUUGGCCGACCACUUCAGAAGAAAACUCCCUUAUCCUUAGCAACAAAUAGUGGACAAUCACCCAGUAUCAAUAUCAGGAACUAAAUAUUGCAGACGUGUGCCACAGGUGGAAACAAUGGACAGGUAUUUGAGUCUGGUCAGUGAAAGUGGCGGCCCCUGGGUGCCGUCUUGUGAAGAGAAUCUGACCCUGAUAAGACCUGUCAGUAUCAAGUUCCGUCAAUCGGGCCACUCUACUGUGGCCUAGAGACUGGGAGCCCGGUCAAUUGUCCAUCCUUCCACUUCCUUAUAAUCAGCUGAUUACAGGUGUGAAAUAUACUGUGUUAAGAUAGGUAUCUUUGGAGUGAACCUGAUACAAGUGUUUACAGACCACGGUCGGUCAAAUUAAUUAAGAUGUCUCAGUAGAACACUUUCAUCAUGAACUUUCACCUAGGAAUUCAAAUCAAAAGAUUUAAUACUCUGACGACAUCAUGUAACUCUUGAGUAAAGAUACCAUUUCAAAAGGAAAGAUUUAUACUCAUUUAUUUACAUGUGUUGCUAAGCACAAUGCAAGA